rnacentral:rRNA from 1 species
AGACCCGAAACCCGGUGAUCUAGCCAUGGGCAGGUUGAAGGUUGGGUAACACUAACUGGAGGACCGAACCGACUAAUGUUGAAAAAUUAGCGGAUGACCUGUGGCUGGGGGUGAAAGGCCAAUCAAACCGGGAGAUAGCUGGUUCUCCCCGAAAGCUAUUUAGGUAGCGCCUCGUGAAUUCAUCUCCGGGGGUAGAGCACUGUUUCGGCUAGGGGGCCAUCCCGGCUUACCAACCCGAUGCAAACUGCGAAUACCGGAGAAUGUUAUCACGGGAGACACACGGCGGGUGCUAACGUCCGUCGUGAAGAGGGAAACAACCCAGACCGCCAGCUAAGGUCCCAAAGUCAUGGUUAAGUGGGAAACGAUGUGGGAAGGCCCAGACAGCCAGGAUGUUGGCUUAGAAGCAGCCAUCAUUUAAAGAAAGCGUAAUAGCUCACUGGUCGAGUCGGCCUGCGCGGAAGAUGUAACGGGGCUAAACCAUGCACCGAAGCUGCGGCAGCGACGCUUAUGCGUUGUUGGGUAGGGGAGCGUUCUGUAAGCCUGUGAAGGUGGCCUGUGAGGGUUGCUGGAGGUAUCAGAAGUGCGAAUGCUGACAUAAGUAACGAUAAAGCGGGUGAAAAGCCCGCUCGCCGGAAGACCAAGGGUUCCUGUCCAACGUUAAUCGGGGCAGGGUGAGUCGACCCCUAAGGCGAGGCCGAAAGGCGUAGUCGAUGGGAAACGGGUUAAUAUUCCCGUACUUGGUGUUACUGCGAAGGGGGGACGGAGAAGGCUAUGUUGGCCGGGCGACGGUUGUCCCGGUUUAAGCGUGUAGGUGUGUGUUCCAGGUAAAUCCGGUUCACUUUAACACUGAGGCGUGACGACGAGGCACUACGGUGCUGAAGCAACAAAUGCCCUGCUUCCAGGAAAAGCCUCUAAGCAUCAGGUAACAUCAAAUCGUACCCCAAACCGACACAGGUGGUCAGGUAGAGAAUACCAAGGCGCUUGAGAGAACUCGGGUGAAGGAACUAGGCAAAAUGGUGCCGUAACUUCGGGAGAAGGCACGCUGACACGUAGGUGAAGUGAUUUACUCACGGAGCUGAAGUCAGUCGAAGAUACCAGCUGGCUGCAACUGUUUAUUAAAAACACAGCACUGUGCAAACACGAAAGUGGACGUAUACGGUGUGACGCCUGCCCGGUGCCGGAAGGUUAAUUGAUGGGGUCAGCGCAAGCGAAGCUCCUGAUCGAAGCCCCGGUAAACGGCGGCCGUAACUAUAACGGUCCUAAGGUAGCGAAAUUCCUUGUCGGGUAAGUUCCGACCUGCACGAAUGGCGUAAUGAUGGCCAGGCUGUCUCCACCCGAGACUCAGUGAAAUUGAACUCGCUGUGAAGAUGCAGUGUACCCGCGGCAAGACGGAAAGACCCCGUGAACCUUUACUAUAGCUUGACACUGAACAUUGAGCCUUGAUGUGUAGGAUAGGUGGGAGGCUUUGAAGUGUGGACGCCAGUCUGCAUGGAGCCGACCUUGAAAUACCACCCUUUAAUGUUUGAUGUUCUAACGUGGACCCGUUA